UGAUUUUUUUGUUUUUUCUUUCCUUUUUUCCAGAGAAAAAGAAAACACCCCCCAUUUUGCUAGCCCCAGCAGGGUGAAUAGAGGGAAAAGGUGCUCCAGGGCAGGAAGAAACUGUGAAGAAAUAGGACACUGGGAGACUUGCUGGAGCUCGCCCAUCUGACCCAAUCCUCCACAUGAGAUCUGGCAAGAUAAUCACUCCAAGCGUCUGGAACUCCAGUCCUGACCUUGCCAUAACAGAAGAAAAUGUCCAGUUAUGCAGCCUCUGGACUAAACAGCCACCAGCCCAAUGGAGACGACCUCAUCUGUGAGUAAACUGCAAGUUCAUUUGCCUUUCUUGGAGAUGAAAAGCUCUCAGCAGCUCAUGAGCUCUCACAAGAAGGUCUGAAUCCCUCCACAUGGCAGUGGGUAGUCCCUCUGCUGGCUGAUUCCAGUGGAAAGCAGAAGGGGGAUUCAGGCUGAGGAGA
rnacentral:lncRNA from 1 species